UACGUAGGGUGCAAGCGUUGUCCGGAAUUAUUGGGCGUAAAGAGCUCGUAGGCGGUCUGUCGCGUCGGCUGUGAAAACCUGGGGCUCAACUCCGGGCCUGCAGCCGAUACGGGCAGACUAGAAUUCGGUAGGGGAGACUGGAAUUCCUGGUGUAGCGGUGAAAUGCGCAGAUAUCAGGAGGAACACCGGUGGCGAAGGCGGGUCUCUGGACCAUAACUGACGCUGAUGCACGAAAGCUAGGGGAGCAAACAGG
rnacentral:rRNA from 1 species